rnacentral:tRNA from 1 species
GCGGAUGUGGUGUAAUUGGUAGCCACGCCAGACUUAGGAUCUGGUGCCUUGACCGGCGUGGGGGUUCGAGUCCCUUCAUCCGCA